CCAAGUGGCUUUUCCACUUCCCUUACACUAUAUAUUUUUAAACCUCAACAAUUCCCUUUGAAAAUAGGAUUCAACAUUGGGCAGGAGACUGUGUAAAAUGGGACAGUUGAAGGAUUUUUCACAAUCUGCAUACUAUCCUCCCUCAAGUUUGAGGAUGUGAUUUCCUUUCACUUUCAUUGCUAGAGUAGAUUCAGACGCAGAAGACCAGUUUUCUGCUUUUCUCCAAAUCGUGGGGAGCACAGAUGACAGGAAGGUGUGGCAGACAGCGUAAUGCUCCCUAAGGAUGCCCAUGCCCUACGCCCUGGAACAUGUGAUUUUUACCUUACACGGCAAAAGAAGAUUUGCGGAACUGAUCAAACUAAGGACCUUGCGAUUGGGGGAUUAUCUUCAACUAUUCAGUUCUGGAGACUAGAAACCCUAGAACAAGGGUUCACCAGCAGGGUCAUGCUCCCUCUGAAGAUGUUACAGAAGGAUCUGUUCCAGACCUCUCUGCUGGCUUAUGGUAGUUCCUUGGUUUGUGGCAGCAUAACUACAAUCUUCAUAUGGGCUCUCACUGCUGUGGCCUCUCCUGUUGCAGAGCACAGGCUCCGGACGCGCAGGCUCAGCGGCCAUGGCUCACGGGCCCAGCCGCUCCGCGGCAUGUGGGAUCUUCCUGGACUGGGGCACGAACCUGUGUCCCCUGCAUCGGCAGGCGGACCCCCAACCACUGUGCCACCAGGGAAGCCCUGCAUGAUGUCUUUUAAUAGCUUUAUAGCUCAUUUAUUUGCAGCACUGUAUAAUAUUCCAUUGUCUGGAUGUACCACCAAAACAUACUUUUAGUAAUUAAGGAUAGGAAAGAACAGAUUUUACCGACCAGCCAAGGUGCAUGUGUAGCCAUUCCUGCUAGCACUCCCCUCCCCCCAUGGAGUUCAGCUUAAAGUUACAUGCAUGCAAAUGUGCCCUAACACAGAUCUCAUAUAUGUCAGAUCUGCAGUUUGAGAAACCUUAGACUGUUUAAAUUCUGACUAAAGAGAAAGAGCCAAAUAACCCCAAGCACGUUUUACUUUUAUAGUGGUUUGAAGGUAUUUCUUGAUUAAGCAGUGGUCAUGUAGAACUGCCCUUUUUAACUUCUAAGACACAUUUCUCAGCAUGGUUUUAUUGUUAAAUCCAAACAUGAAUUUUGUGAUAUGUAAAUUAAUUUUCCCCCAAGAUGCUUACUGCUUAAGUGAAAAGACUUUAUCAAACACUGGCAUGUUUUGAGCAUUCCAUUUUGCAUUUCUCGGUCCCUUAGAUGCCUUACAAACCAGAGCAAGGGGUUUAUUUUUGCCGUAACAAUAGAAACAAAAAAUAUUUCAAUAAAGAAGGAACACCUAUUUUUAAAGAAUGAUAAUCAUAAAGAAAAAUUUCCCUUUGACCAGGACUGUUGUAUUUCCUAGAAACUUAUAGAAACAUUGAGAAACAGAAUAGGCAUUGGUAAUAUACAGUCUUAUAAGCAAUGGCCUAUAAAAACAUGUUUUAUGUACACUUUUAUUGCUGUGAAGAAUUAAGAAAUAUAGUUUCUUUCAUCUUUCCUACCCUAAAGUUUUGUUGGAUUCAGCAAAUAAUUUCCUUCUUCCCGUAAGAAAUUCAGAAAAACUCAAAGAUCUGUAUAUAGUACAGGGACUGAAAACCAUUUAAUGGGAAGAGAGGUAAAUAUAUGCAUUUUUGCAUUUAGUACAGUCUGCAUAAAUUCUACAGUUCUGGUCCAGUCUCAGGUUUUGAUAUUACAGUAUGUAUAGUAGCCAUUCCCCUUACUUACAUGUUUAUUACCCUAGCAGUAUCUAACACAUUGCCUUUUGGAUACAAGACUAAGGAUAAAUCAGAAAUACCAUGGUUUUGAAUGUCCCUACUGAGUUUUAUUAAAGAAUAAUCAGAAACCAAGAUAAAACCAUUUCAAGAAGAAGAUUGCCUAUUUUAUACCUUAAUCAUAUUUUCAUUUGAUACAGUCUAUGCUUACAGUUAAUGUUCAGCUUUCUGUAAUUGCCAUCCUUUGAAAUGAGGGAAAAUAACAUCUUAAAGCCAGAUAGGAAAUUGUUGAUUUUACUUCUUUGAACAGUCAUAAAAUUUGAAUUUCCAAAAUUUAUUUUACCCUGUAAGGGAGCUCUGCAACUUAUAUUUUUAAUGGCUCGGUGACAAAUUUUAAUA